rnacentral:rRNA from 1 species
AUUGAACGCUGGCGGCAGGCCUAACACAUGCAAGUCGAACGAGUGGCGGACGGGUGAGUAAUGUCUGGGAAACUGCCCGAUGGAGGGGGAUAACUACUGGAAACGGUAGCUAAUACCGCAUACCAUCGGAUGUGCCCAGAUGGGUUUAGCUAGUAGGUGGGGUAACGGUUCACCUCGGAGACGAUCCCUAGCUGGUCUGAGAGGAUGACCAGCCACACUUGAACUGAGACACGGUCCAGACGCCUACGGGAGGCAGCAGUGGGGAAGAUUGCACAAUGGGCGCAAGCCUGAUGCAGCCAUGCCGCGUGUGUGAAGAAGGCCUUCGGGUUGUAAAGCACUUUCAGCGGGGAGGCGUUACCCGCAGAAGAAGCACCGGCUAACUCCGUGCCAGCAGCCGCGGUAAUUC